UACGUAGGGUGCAAGCGUUAAUCGGAAUUACUGGGCGUAAAGCGUGCGCAGGCGGUUAUGCAAGACAGAUGUGAAAUCCCCGGGCUCAACCUGGGAACUGCAUUUGUGACUGCAUGGCUGGAGUGCGGCAGAGGGGGAUGGAAUUCCGCGUGUAGCAGUGAAAUGCGUAGAUAUGCGGAGGAACACCGAUGGCGAAGGCAAUCCCCUGGGCCUGCACUGACGCUCAUGCACGAAAGCUAGGGGAGCGAAUGGG
rnacentral:rRNA from 1 species